rnacentral:tRNA from 1 species
GAGGGUAUAGCUCAGUGGGUAGAGUGCAUGCUUAGCAUGCAGGAGGUCAUGGGUUCAAUCCCCAGUACCUCUG